UGAGGAAUAUUGGUCAAUGGGCGCAAGCCUGAACCAGCCAUCCCGCGUGCAGGAAGACGGCCCUAUGGGUUGUAAGCUGCUUUUCCAGGGAGAGAAACCUGCGCACGUGUUGCGCAAUUGACGGUACCCUUGGAAUAAGCAUCGGCUAACUCCGUGCCAGCAGCCGCGGUAAUACGGAGGAUGCAAGCGUUAUCCGGAUUCGUUGGGUUUAAAGGGUGCGUAGGCGGACUAUUAAGUCAGUGGUGAAAGCCUGCAGCUUAACUGCAGAACUGCCAUUGAUACUGAUAGUCUUGAGUUUGGUUAAGGUAGGCGGAAUGUGUAAUGUAGCGGUGAAAUGCUUAGAUAUUACACAGAACACCAAUUGCGUAGGCAGCUUACUGAGCCGACACUGACGCUGAGGCACGAAAGCGUGGGGAUCGAACAG
rnacentral:rRNA from 1 species